rnacentral:rRNA from 1 species
UACGAAGGGGCUAGCGUUGCUCGGAAUCACUGGGCGUAAAGCGCACGUAGGCGGAUUCUUAAGUCGGUGGUGAAAGCCUGGAGCUCAACUCCAGAACUGCCUUCGAUACUGAGAGUCUUGAGUCCGGGAGAGGUGAGUGGAACUGCGAGUGUAGAGGUGAAAUUCGUAGAUAUUCGCAAGAACACCAGUGGCGAAGGCGGCUCACUGGCCCGGUACUGACGCUGAGGUGCGAAAGCGUGGGAGCAACAGG